GGAGACUGACCAUUUCCUUUUAAUUAAGCCUCUGUUGUGCUUGCAGAGCUCUUUUGAGGGAGGUAGGCUUUAAAUGAGGCAUGUUUUAGGCAGAGGAAAUUUUCAUAGUGAGCAUGGGGAAGGGGAACCACAUUAGUCAGGCAUUGUUGGCUAAUAUGGGGCAGUGACAAGAAAAACUACCAGCAGCUACCAUUUAUUGACUGCUUGCUGUAUGCCAGGCACUGUAGCAAGCACCUCACAAACAUUUAGCCCUCCCAGCAAGUUCUAGAGUAGUUAUACCUGUCCUUAUCUUACACCUGAGUAAAUCCAGGUGCAGGGGGGUGAAGGAACCUGCCCUAACCUGCCCUAGGCUUCUCAGCCAAUAGGAGGUGGAGGUGGAAUCCACACUCGGGUUCAUCUGUAUAAAGACCUGAUUCCUGACUGCAUUACAUUACCUCUCCUUUUAGCAUCCUUUCCC
rnacentral:lncRNA from 10 species